rnacentral:rRNA from 1 species
UACAGGGGGUGCAAACGUUGCUCGGAAUCAUUGGGCGUAAAGCGCACGUAGGCGGUUCGUUAUGUCGGAUGUGAAAGCCCUUGGCUUAACCGAGGAAGUGCAUCCGAAACUGGCGAGCUAGAGUACUAAAGAGGAUCGCGGAAUUCCCGGUGUAGAGGUGAAAUUCGUAGAUAUCGGGAGGAACACCGGUGGCGAAGGCGACUCUUUGGCCUGUAACUGACGCUGAGGAGCGAAAGCGUGGGGAGCGAACAGG